CUGGCACCACAUUAUCUCUGCUGUACAAAGCACAAGGAAUAAUUCCACUAUGAAGACAGUUGACAGAGACUCUGAACAUUCUGGAAUCAGAAUGGCUACAAUUUAAUACCGAAUGCAGGCAAGGAUGUGGAGCAAUUGGAGCACUUGUACACUGAUGCUGG